GCAGACACAUUCCAGCCAAUCAGCAGCAGACCGUCCCUCCCUGACCCUCCCACCUCCUGGACAGCAUCCAUUUUACAUUAUUGUGAAGCUGCAUUCUUAGUGAGCUGUCCAGGAGGUGGGAGGGUCUGGGAGGGAGGGUCUGCUGCUGAUUGGCUGGAAUGUGGCUG
rnacentral:miRNA from 1 species